CUAUCUUACACCCCAACUAACAGUUUCUUGUAUACAACAGAAUAAAUACAGUUUUGCAAACAUCAAUAUAAUUAAACUGCUAACAAUUGAUAAAGUAAAUAUUCCAAUGCUUAUUUAUAGUCUUACAAAAUAGGAAACACAAGAGUUUCAUAGAAAAACUUUAAAGGGAGACUAUAUUCACCAAAACAUAUUUAACUUAAUUAAGCAGUUUUUGUGUUCUAUAUUUGUUUAGAGAUAAUGCAUAUGAUAUGUGGUCUCAGUGUUCAAUUCUCUGUUAUUUAAGAUUUAAAACACGUUUGUUUCUGUUUAUGCAGCCCUAGCCACACUUCAACUGGCUGUGACUGACACAGCCUGUAUGAGCACAAAAUGGUUUAAUUUUCAAUCAGAUGUAACUCACUUUAAAAGAGCUCUGUUGAUUGAACUUUAAUUACACACAAGAGGCUCCUACAGGGUCUAGCUAUUAACAGAGCAGGAGAAAAGAAAUUCUAAAUUAAACAUAAUUUGUAAUAAUGUAAGUGUAAACAUUAGUUGCAUGCAGGGAGGUGGGACUACAGCUGCAUAAACAAAGUGAUUUCGCUCCUAAAUGGCAGAGAUAUGAGCAGUGAGACUGCAGGGGCAUGAUCUAUACACCAAAAAUGCUUCAUGAAGCUUAAGUUGUUUUGGUGACUAUAGUGUCCCUUUAACUUUGUUACUAUCUUCUGUGCUGUCAAAACAAAAUAGUGCCUCACUUUAAGAAACUUAACAAAAUGCUGGACAUCAUUAAAGCGAUUCUAUGAUUUUGUUGCAAUGAAAAUAGCUUGUCUUUACAUUUUAACAGUUAUUUUAUUUCCAUGUUGUACUCUAUUUACUAGGUUUAGUGAGCUUAUAGUUGGGGUGCUUAGACCUGGGGAAUCUUGAAGUUACCUGUUUUUAAAAUGUCAUAGAUUGUAAAUGCUGUAAGUACAUCUAACAAUAAGUCUCUUACCUAAUGCUAAUUUCCCAUCCUAAAUCAAUUUAACCAUAAAUCCUUGUAAAUAUAAUCUGUGACCAAUCACAGUUGUUUUAAACAGCACCAAUUCUAUAAUGAU